rnacentral:rRNA from 2 species
UUAAAUUGAAGAGUUUGAUCAUGGCUCAGAUUGAACGCUGGCGGCAGGCCUAACACAUGCAAGUCGAACGGUAACAGGAAGCAGCUUGCUGCUUUGCUGACGAGUGGCGGACGGGUGAGUAAUGUCUGGGAAACUUCCUGAUGGAGGGGGAUAACUACUGGAAACGGUGGCUAAUACCGCAUAACGUCGCAAGACCAAAGAGGGGGACCUUCGGGCCUCUUGCCAUCAGAUGUGCCCAGAUGGGAUUAGCUUGUUGGUGAGGUAACGGCUCACCAAGGCGACGAUCCCUAGCUGGUCUGAGAGGAUGACCAGCCACACUGGAACUGAGACACGGUCCAGACUCCUACGGGAGGCAGCAGUGGGGAAUAUUGCACAAUGGGCGCAAGCCUGAUGCAGCCAUGCCGCGUGUAUGAAGAAGGCCUUCGGGUUGUAAAGUACUUUCAGCGGGGAGGAAGGUGUUGUGGUUAAUAACCGCAGCAAUUGACGUUACCCGCAGAAGAAGCACCGGCUAACUCCGUGCCAGCAGCCGCGGUAAUACGGAGGGUGCAAGCGUUAAUCGGAAUUACUGGGCGUAAAGCGCACGCAGGCGGUCUGUCAAGUCGGAUGUGAAAUCCCCGGGCUCAACCUGGGAACUGCAUUCGAAACUGGCAGGCUUGAGUCUUGUAGAGGGGGGUAGAAUUCCAGGUGUAGCGGUGAAAUGCGUAGAGAUCUGGAGGAAUACCGGUGGCGAAGGCGGCCCCCUGGACAAAGACUGACGCUCAGGUGCGAAAGCGUGGGGAGCAAACAGGAUUAGAUACCCUGGUAGUCCACGCCGUAAACGAUGUCUACUUGGAGGUUGUGCCCUUGAGGCGUGGCUUCCGGAGCUAACGCGUUAAGUAGACCGCCUGGGGAGUACGGCCGCAAGGUUAAAACUCAAAUGAAUUGACGGGGGCCCGCACAAGCGGUGGAGCAUGUGGUUUAAUUCGAUGCAACGCGAAGAACCUUACCUGGUCUUGACAUCCACGGAAGAAUUCAGAGAUGGAUUUGUGCCUUCGGGAACCGUGAGACAGGUGCUGCAUGGCUGUCGUCAGCUCGUGUUGUGAAAUGUUGGGUUAAGUCCCGCAACGAGCGCAACCCUUAUCCUUUGUUGCCAGCGGUCCGGCCGGGAACUCAAAGGAGACUGCCAGUGAUAAACUGGAGGAAGGUGGGGAUGACGUCAAGUCAUCAUGGCCCUUACGACCAGGGCUACACACGUGCUACAAUGGCGCAUACAAAGAGAAGCGACCUCGCGAGAGCAAGCGGACCUCAUAAAGUGCGUCGUAGUCCGGAUUGGAGUCUGCAACUCGACUCCAUGAAGUCGGAAUCGCUAGUAAUCGUGGAUCAGAAUGCCACGGUGAAUACGUUCCCGGGCCUUGUACACACCGCCCGUCACACCAUGGGAGUGGGUUGCAAAAGAAGUAGGUAGCUUAACCUUCGGGAGGGCGCUUACCACUUUGUGAUUCAUGACUGGGGUGAAGUCGUAACAAGGUAACCGUAGGGGAACCUGCGGUUGGAUCACCUCCUUACCUUAAAGAA